CGCCCGUACGGGGCGAUGCGGCAGCGGCUGCUCUCCUCCUCCGCGGCCCCGCAGCAGUGAGAGGCACCGGACAGAGGGCGGCGGGGCCGGGCGGGGGCCGGGCCGGGGGCGGUGCUGCCUCCGCGGCCGCGCGGGACAGACGGCAGCGGGAGCCGGGGCCGGAACCGGAGCCCGAGCCGGGCAGGAGGAGCCGCAGUGGGAGCCGGGCGUGGUGAGCGGAGAGCGGUGAGCGGAGCUGCCCCGGCCCCAGCGGGGCGGCUGCGGGCAGGAAGGUGCCGCGCUGCCGGUUGCGCCUGAGCCGGAGCAUCCCGGCGGGGUCAGCCGCCUUCAUUUUCCAAGGGAGGUGCUUUUCUCACCAUACAGUCCCUUUAGAUUUGGGUGUGAUAACCAACCUGCACAUUGGACAUUUGGCUUGUAUCCCCAUAUCUUCUUCCUGCUUUUCCAAAGGAUAUGAUCUUAAAUUGUCCUGGCUUGAGCAGUAAAGGAUAAAUUUGUUCACUGUCUGACUCGUCAUCUCACCGUUGUGAUGGAAAAAUGCUCGCUUAAUAUAAACCCUUUUUAUUCUACUAAAACCUUUGAAUACAAGAUCUGUUGUGAUU
rnacentral:lncRNA from 1 species